AGUCGAACGGACUUACAUUGAAGCCUAGCGAUAUGUAAGUUAGUGGCGGACGGGUGAGUAACGCGUGGGUAACCUGCCUUGUACUGGGGGACAACAGUUGGAAACGACUGCUAAUACCGCAUAAGCGCACAGCUUCGCAUGAAGCAGUGUGAAAAACUCCGGUGGUACGAGAUGGACCCGCGUCUGAUUAGCUGGUCGGUGAGGUAACGGCCCACCAAGGCGACGAUCAGUAGCCGGCCUGAGAGGGUGAACGGCCACAUUGGGACUGAGACACGGCCCAAACUCCUACGGGAGGCAGCAGUGGGGAAUAUUGCACAAUGGGGGAAACCCUGAUGCAGCAACGCCGCGUGAGUGAAGAAGUAUUUCGGUAUGUAAAGCUCUAUCAGCAGGAAAGAAAAUGACGGUACCUGACUAAGAAGCCCCGGCUAACUACGUGCCAGCAGCCGCGGUAAUACGUAGGGGGCAAGCGUUAUCCGGAUUUACUGGGUGUAAAGGGAGUGUAGACGGUUUUGCAAGUCUGAAGUGAAAGCCCGGGGCUUAACCCCGGGACUGCUUUGGAAACUGUAGGACUAGAGUGCAGGAGAGGUAAGUGGAAUUCCUAGUGUAGCGGUGAAAUGCGUAGAUAUUAGGAGGAACACCAGUGGCGAAGGCGGCUUACUGGACUGUAACUGACGUUGAGGCUCGAAAGCGUGGGGAGCAAACAGGAUUAGAUACCCUGGUAGUCCGCGCCGUAAACGAUGAUUACUAGGUGUUGGUGGGUAUGACCCAUCGGUGCCGCAGCAAACGCAAUAAGUAAUCCACCUGGGGAGUACGUUCGCAAGAAUGAA
rnacentral:rRNA from 1 species